GCGGCUAUGGCGAAAUUGGUAGACGCGCUAGACUUAGGAUCUAGUGGGCGACCGUGGGGGUUCGAGUCCCUUUAGCCGCACCA
rnacentral:tRNA from 1 species